rnacentral:rRNA from 1 species
GACGAAGGGGGCUAGCGUUGUUCGGAAUUACUGGGCGUAAAGCGCGUGUAGGCGGUUGUCCAAGUUGGAUGUGAAAGCCUUGAGCUCAACUCAAGAAAUGCAUUCAGGACUGGAUGACUAGAGGACCGGAGAGGAUAGUGGAAUUCCCAGUGUAGUGGUGAAAUACGUAGAGAUUGGGAAGAACACCAGUGGCGAAGGCGGCUAUCUGGACGGUUUCUGACGUUAAGACGCGAAAGCGUGGGGAGCAAACAGG